rfam:Schistosoma haematobium scaffold1245_11, whole genome shotgun sequence.
GCACUGCAGAUGAGUCCUAGAAUAGGACGAGACGGCCGUCCAGUGU